rnacentral:lncRNA from 1 species
UGUUUGCUCGUUUCCCGUGGAUGUGCGGUUCUUCCGUGGUUUCUCUCCAUCUAAGGAGCUUUGGGGGAACAUUUUUAGUUCCCCUACCACCAAGCCUUAUGGCUUAUUUAAGAAAACAUAUCAAAAUUCCACGAGAUUUUUGACGUUUUGAUAUGUUCUGGUAAGAUUUUUUUUUUGACAUGUCCUCCAUACUUUUUGAUAUUUGUAAUAUUUUCAGUCAAUUUUUCAUUUUUAAGGAAUAUUUCUUUGUUGUGCCUUUUGGUUGAUACUUGUGUGUGUAUGGUGGACUUACCUUUCUUUCAUUGUUUAUAUAUUCUUGCCCAUCGGGGCCACGGAUACCUGUGUGUCCUCCCCGCCAUUCCAUGCCCAACGGGGUUUUGGAUACUUACCUGCCUUUUCAUUCUUUUUUUUUCUUAUUAUUUUUUUUUCUAAACUUGCCCAUCUGGGCUGUGGAUACCUGCUUUUAUUCUUUUUUUCUUCUCCUUAGCCCAUCGGGGCCAUGGAUACCUGCUUUUUGUAAAAAAAAAAAAAAAAACAAAAAAACCUUUCUCGGUCCAUCGGGACCUCGGAUACCUGCGUUUAGUCUUUUUUUCCCAUGCCCAACGGGGCCUCGGAUACCUGCUGUUAUUAUUUUUUUUUCUUUUUCUUUUGCCCAUCGGGGCUGUGGAUACCUGCUUUAAAUUUUUUUUUUCACGGCCCAACGGGGCGCUUGGUGGAUGGAAAUAUGGUUUUGUGAGUUAUUGCACUACCUGGAAUAUCUAUGCCUCUUAUUUGCGUGUACUGUUGCUGCUGAUCGUUUGGUGCUGUGUGAGUGAACCUAUGGCUUAGAAAAACGACUUUGCUCUUAAACUGAGUGGGUGUUCAGGGCGUGGAGAGCCCGCGUCCGCCAUUAUGGCUUCUGCGUGAUACGGCUAUUCUCGAGCCAGUUACGCCAAGAAUUAGGACACCGAGGAGCACAGCGGACUGGAUAAAAGCAACCAAUUGCGCUGCGCUAGCUAAAGGCUUUCUUUAUAUGUGCGGGGUUGCGGGAUUCGCCUUGAUUUGUGGUAGCAUUUGCGGGGUUGUGCUAGCCGGAAGUAGAAAGCCAAGGAGUGCUCGUAUUAGUGUGCGGUGUUGCGCGGAAGCCGCAGAGGACUAGGGGAUAGGGCUCAGCGUGGGUGUGGGGAUUGGGCAGGGUGUGUGUGCAUAUGGACCCCUGGCGCGGUCCCCCGUGGCUUUAAGGGCUGCUCAGAAGUCUAUAAAAUGGCGGCUCGGGGGCUCCACCCGAGGCUCGACAGCCCAAUCUUUGUUCUGGUGUGUAGCAAUGGAUUAUAGGACAUUUAGGUCGUACAGGAAAAGAUGGCGGCUCAAGUUCUUGGUGCGGUAUAACGCAAAGGGCUUUGUGUGUCACAUGUCAGCUUCAUGUCUGAGUUAGCCUGGAGAGGUGGCACAUGCUCUUGAAUGUGUCUAAGAUGGCGGAAGUCAUGUGACCUGCCCUCUAGUGGUUUCUUUCAGUGAUUUUUUUUUUGGCGGGCUUUAGCUACUUGGCGGGCUUUGCCCGAGGGUACACUUGGUGCAUUAUGGUAGGGUGUGGUUGGUCCUACCUUGUGCCACUCGAAGCUGAGGCAAGGCUAAGUGGAAGUGUUGGUUGCCACUUGACGUAACUCGUCAGAAAUGGGCACAAGUGUGAAAGUGUUGGUGUUUGCUUGACUUCCAGUUAGAAAUGUGCAUUAUUGCUUGGUGGCCAGGAUGGAAUUAGACUGUGAUGAGUCACUGUCCCAUAAGGACGUGAGUUUCGCUUGGUACUUCACGUGUGUCUUUAGUCAUCAUUUUUUCGAAGUGCCUGCCCAGGUCGGGAGAGCGCAUGCUUGCAAUUCUAACACUGAAGUGUUGGAUGAUGUCGGAUCCGAUUCGAGAGACCGAGGCUGCGGGUUCUUGGUCGAUGUAAAUCAUUGAAACCUCACCUAUUAAAAGAAAGAAAAGUAUCUAAGGCCAUUUCAAGGACAUUUGACUCAUCCGCUUGCGUUCAUAGUCUCUUACAGUGCUCUAUACGUGGCGGUGCAAACUAAAACUCAGCCCGUUCCAUUCCUUUGUAUUGUUCAGUGGCUAGUCUACUUACACCUUGGCCUCUGAUUUAGCCAGCACUGAUCUCAAGCGGUUCUCUAAGCCUACUGGGUAUAAGUGGUGACUUUGGCCAGAGUCAUAGUGGAUCACAAAUCACUGGUGAAGAGGUAGAAUCCUACCUUCUUCCAAAAUCUACCCCAUGACUAUUGCUGGGGUUGCAUUUUGAUUUCAAUGAAUAUUUUGGAUGCCAACGACACGUCUGAUAGUGUGCUUUGCUAGUGUUUGAAUUUAAAACCGAAGUGAUUGUUUUCAAAAUGUAUUUACGAUUUGCUUACUUGUUGAAUUCAUUUUAAUUACCUUUAGUGAAUUGUUACUUUGGAGUCCUUAAAGUUUUCAAUAAUUUUUUUGGCAGAUGAUACUCAAAUUACUUGGCACUUAAAUGUACUUUCUUUCAAACUCAUCCACCGAGCUACUCUUCAAAUUUUUAAGUCUUAUAACACAGAUACUGUUAAUGUAAAGUGAACAUUAUGACUGGAUGUCAGGAGUAUUUGAGGUUCUAUACCAGUUCAGGCUUUGCUUUUGUUGCUAUUGUUGAUGCUAUAUUGACUAAUGGUUUUACUUGUCAGCAAGAGCCUUGAAUUGUAAUGCUCUGUGUCCUCUAUCAGACUUACUGUUAUAAUAGUAAUAUUAAGGCCUACAUUUCAACUUUCUGUGUGUUCUUGCCUUUAUGGCAUCUAGAUUCUCCUCAAGACUCAGCAAAUAGUGCUGCUGCUAUUGCUGCCCCAGCCCCAGGCCCAGCCCCAGCCCCUGCCCCAGCCCCAGCCCCAGCCCCUGCCCCAGCCCCAGCCCCUGCCCCUGCCCCAGCCCCAGCCCCAGCCCCUACCCCUGCCCCUGCCCCUGCCCCACCCAACCAACCCAAUCCAGUCCAGCCCUGCCCCAGCCCAGUCCUAGCCCCAGGCCCAGAUACUUUCAGACCUAUCCCAAGCCCACUUCUACUUAGAGAAAUUCGAAUCUUCAUUGAUUCAGUGCUAAAAUGCAGUGUCCAUCACUCAGCCUAUAAGACUGAGACAGCCCAUCUAUACCCCCUCCAUACUGACUUCUAGAGUCAUGGAAUUUCACUUAAUGCAUAGAAUCGUAUUGCUAAAAUGCAGUGCCCAUCACUCAGCCUAUAAGACUGAGAUAGCCCAUCUAUACCCCCUCCAUACUGACUUACAGAGUCAUGGAGUUUCACUUAAUGCAUGCAGUCCUAUUGCUAAAAUGCAGUGCCCAUAACUCAGCCUAUAAGACUGAGAUAGCCCAUUUAUACCCCAUACCCCCUCCAUACUGACUUCUAGGGUCAUGGAAUUUCACUUAAUACAUAGAAUCGUAUUGCUAAAAUGCAGUGUCCAUCACUCAGUCUAUAAGACUGAGAUAUCCCUAUGUAUACCCCAUACUCCCUCCAUACUGACUUCCAGAGUCAUAGAAUUUCACUUUGCAUACGGUCCUAUUGCUAAAAUGCAGUGUCCAUCACUCAGUCUAUAAGACUGAGAUAUCCCUAUGUAUACCCCAUACUCCCUCCAUACUGACUUCCAGAGUCAUAGAAUUUCACUUUGCAUACGGUCCUAUUGCUAAAAUGCAGUGCCCAUCACUCAGCCUAUAAGACUGAGAUAGCCCAUCUAUACCCCCUCCAUACUGACUUCCAGAGUCAUGGAAUUUCACUUAAUGCAUGCAGUCCUAUUGCUAAAAUGCAGUGCCCAUCACUCAGCCUAUAAGACUGAGAUAGCCCAUCUAUACCCCAUACCCCCUCCAUACUGACUUCCAGAGUCAUGGAAUUUCACUUAAUGCAUGCAGUCCUAUUGCUAAAAUGCAGUGCCCAUCACUCAGCCUAUAAGACUGAGAUAGCCCAUCUAUACCCACUCCAUACUGACUUCCAGAGUCAUGGAAUUUCACUUAAUGCAUGCAGUCCUAUUGCUAAAAUGCAGUGCCCAUCACUCAGCCUAUAAGACUGAGAUAGCCCAUCUAUACCCACUCCAUACUGACUUCCAGAGUCAUGGAGUUUCACUUAAUGCAUGCAGUCCUAUUGCUAAAAUGCAGUGCCCAUAACUCAGCCUAUAAGACUGAGAUAGCCCAUUUAUACCCCAUACCCCCUCCAUACUGACUUCUAGGGUCAUGGAAUUUCACUUAAUGCAUAGAAUCGUAUUGCUAAAAUGCAGUGUCCAUUACUCAGCCUAUAAGACUGAGAUAUCCCUAUGUAUACCCCAUACCCCCUCCAUACUGACUUCCAGAGACAUAGAAUUUCACUUUGCAUACGGUCCUAUUGCUAAAAUGCAGUGCCCAUCACUCAGCCUAUAAGACUGAGAUAUCCCUAUCUAUACCCUCUACCCCCUCCAUACUGACUUCCAGAGUCAUGGAAUUUCACAUAAUGUAUAGAUUUCUAUUGCUAAAAUGCAGUGCCCAUAACUCAGCCUAUAAGACUGAGAUAGCCCAUCUAUACCCCCUCCAUACUGAGUUCCAGAGUCAUGGAAUUUCACUUAAUGCAUAGAAUCGUAUUGCUAAAAUGCAGUGCCCAUCACUCAGCCUAUAAGACUGAGCCCAUCUAUACCCCAUACCCCCUCCAUACUGACUUCCAGAGUCAUGGAAUUUCACUUUGCAUACAGUCCUACUUUACUUGUCCAUGGACAAGUAAACAAAGAACUCUUGUCCUUCAUGUUAAUCAAGAUACACCAAUCAAACAAGAGUUUUAUAUCAGAGACUUGCCAUGGAGGUAUCAUCUCUCAAGUCUCCUUUCCUUUAAGGAAAGAAAACCAUUCUGUCAUUGCUGUAGUAGUCACAGUCCCAAGUUUCUAAGCAGUGUUCAGUCGUCUUUUCUCAUGUAUUACCUUGAGUACUGAAUAAUUCUGUCAGAAAUAUUUUGUCCAUUGGAUUAGACUUUAGCUAGUCCAGCCCUGUGUGCAUUUAGCAAAGGGGCAAACACAGGUCUGUUAUCAGACAGUUAAAGUGCUCAGUCCCAAUUUUCAAGGCAUUGGCCAUUAAAGGGGGUAGAAUACUAUAUACUGUUGGCAUGCUGUCAUGGGUGCUAUCGCCCCAGGUCACAUCUUUCUAACUGAUGGAGAUACAUUUAUUUGCUCAUGAUAUUGUAUACUAGUCUCACAUGCUUUCUUAUUUCAGCCAAAAACCUCUGCACUGGAACAUUUUAUGUGGAUAAUCCUGACUAGGAAUUGAGUCUUUUCUCAAGGUCCUAAUACUACCCUUGCUUUAUGUAAAGAGGGUGCUGAUUACUUAAUGCCUCUUACACAAUUGUGCAAAAUUGCAGUUGUUCAAGUCCCCUUCUGUUAGUAACCAAGAUCCCAUACCCUCAUACCCUAAUGGGUGACAAUCAAGGGUGCCAACCAAUGAGACCACUUCUCUGUUCUGGUCUUUCUGCUGUGCUGGGGAAUCAAACCUUGAGUCUUGUGUACGCUAGUAAAGCACUGUCAUAGAGCUACAGCCCCACCGUGUGGUGGUUUGAGAGAACAGCCUCUUAUGUAGCCUGGGCUGGGCGGGACUUACAGGCAUUGCCACCUGUAAUGUAAACAUAUUUGUGCCUGUUGUGUGCACAGCUGCAUUUGUCCCUCUUCCUAAGCAUUGGAUAAAGAAACCAAACUAAGUCAAGUCAUUUUGUUGGUAAUCAAGAAGACCUUUGAUCUGUCCUGUUUUUAACUUCCAGGCUGGCCUGGAACUUAGCAUAUAACCCAGGCUAGCCUUGAGCUCAGGAUCUAGCCUGCGUUUAACAAGUGUUGGCAUAUCUGGUUCCUACCACUAUGCCCUGCAUGCAGUCUUUCAUAUUGUGAAUGUGCAUAUGUCAUUUCACUGUAGUAAUCUGCAUCUGGUGAAGACUUAUUUGUAUUGCAGCAGUAUUUAAGAUCCUUAACAUAGUAAAUGUGCACAGUGUUAACUCUAUUGUACAUAUUCUCAUGUCCACAGUUGUGCCUUUUAGAUCAGGACUCCUGUACUUAGCAAAGCAAAGAGGCUCACUAAUAUAAAGCUUCUUUCAUGAGACUAUAGAUUGAAACGAUUCCAAUACGGUCAAUGGUCCUUCAAGGUAAGACUUCUGUCUCUGAUCAUUCAUAUCCUCUUUGCUUUAUGGAAUUAUGUAUGUGCUGUGCACUUGAAACCCCUUCCUCAAACUAUUUAUGUACAUACUGGCAAUUUUAGUAGGAUCAAUUUUACUCUUAACUUUGAAGUACAGAAGUGGUGUUGACCUAUAAGGUCCCAUUUUGUGGCUUGCUAAUAAUAAUGACUGAUUGUAGUAGGCCUUUUCUGUUCACUACAGAAGGAAACCUGAACAGCGUAAAACUGUAAUGGCCAUAAACAUGUACCUUGCAUAUUAGUAUGCAUUUACUGCACACAUCUCAUUCCAUUUGGAUACGAUCCUACUCUCAAACCCUUUUGCAGUACAGCAAGGGUCACUAAUCUUUUGGCUUCUUCAUCUUCCUGGACACUGGAUAAGGCUGUCCCCUCCUUUCCACUCUUUAAUUUCCAGGACUAUUACUUUAAAGACUUAAUAUUUGCAUAAAGGAUGGGGUUUUUAAUUGAUAACAUGUCCCUUGAACAUUAAUGUAUAUAACAGGGACAUGAUCCAUUCAUUUUAAUAAAAAUACUUGGCCAGUUAAUGUGUAAAAUUACACUUAUCCACAACCUUAUUACUUUUCGGACCAUUGUAUCUCUUGCACUCCUGCAAGGGAUACCGUUUAUCUCCCAAGGUCCCUGCUAGUGGACCAUUAAUAUACAGUGAAUCUUCCUUUGUCUUUGCCAGUAAACAAAGGCCAUACUCCUUCGCCUUUCAUUUGCACUAUAUCAGGAUAUGCUGAUCAACAAGGCCGCAUUCUUUUGGACUGUUAUCAUAUAUUAAAUGUAUGCGUAUGCACUGCCACCUGCUCUGUGCACUUGAAAGGAUCCCACUCACUUCCUUAGCACCUUCAGCAGGAAGUGAUAAUAAGCUCAAGACUUUCAUUUGGAAAGUUCACAUGUCUAAGCACUUCUCUAAGAACUACUGUACCCUCUUCUCCGCUUUAAAGCAGAAAGAGGGUUGUACGAAGUGCUCUUCAUUUGGACUUAAGUGCAUUAAUGCAGUUAGUUGUCCAUCAUUACCUUUGGAGUUGGAUUUUACAUCCUUGUACUCUUUUGACACCAGAGGCAUAUUAAUUAUUUCUGAGCACUUCUCUUGUCAAUAUUAAUCUGUACCCUUACACAUAUGACCUGUGCGGCAGCAAAGGUUCUGAAAUGCCUACCUUUUGACUGGGGCUGCUGAGUGGUAGUAACUAUUAGUAACCUCAGCAUUUGGAUGAUUACUAUGCAAAAAUGUCAAGGACCUGUGUGCUCUCUUUGCAUACCAUCAAGGCUACUGAGUCCCAGAAUUAAUUGCUAAGUUAUGCGUAUUUAUAACUAUGAAUGUCUGGAAUAUUUUGUCCCCUUUACAUUAUUGCAGAGGUUGCUGAGCCCCCGAAACUACCCGGUACUGUCAAUGAGCACAGGGGCUCUGACGAAUGACCUGCUCUCUUCCUUAAACUGAUUUUGGGACUCUUAAUAGGCACAAUGGCAGUUCUGGAUGGUUUAUUUUCUACUCCAACUUGAGCAAAUCCCCUGCUAGUUUCCCAAUGAUAUAAUAAAGUACAGCAGUAUGUACACCCAACAAUGACCCGGAUUUCGACCCUUUUUGCAUUGCUUUAAUAUAUACAAUCCUAAAUAGUCACAAUCUCACACUUUAUAGUGUUCCUUUUGCCCGGCCUCUAGUUUGUCCAUUGACCACUUUUCUGAAUCACUAAUUCUCACAAACCCAUCAUUAAGGAAGAGUUUGUGCCCUUUCUCAAUUCCAUCAUGCCAUCCCUUUUGCCUCUUUGUUUGAACAGUAUUGACUGGGCAAAGCCCUUCUCUUGACUUAAAGUCAACAACACCAGUUUACUCACUUCAUAUGGCUACAGUGUCUCAGUUGCCUUCUCCUUGCUCCCACUGAACAGAGACACCUCGAAUUCUUACAUUAUUCUGGGUAAUGUUAAUUACCCCAAACACCCUAUGUGUCAUUAAUAAAUUUUGGUGUAUUUAUACACUGAAUAGCAAAAGCAGGCCAAAACUAGGUGGAUGAGCCUUCAAUCUUUAACUUGCACUUCUAAAUUAUUCCAAUUCCAACUGCUGGCACAUUCUAGGGCCAGGAACCAUUCUUGCCUACCUUUAUUAAUGCUUUAUUGUGCAAAAUAUUGCAGGCAAGUAGCUCAGGGAGUUGGAUUGCCACCUUUUACUUGGGGCUUUCCUUUACAGUAUGAACUGAAAAUUGUCUUCCUGAGAAGGAAGCUUAGCACUUUUCUUUCCGUUCUUCCUCCAGGAAGGAGCCAACUGUCUGCUUAAGAAACUUUAAGCCCGAUUUUGUAUAUUGCUACUGUACAGGACCAACUGCCAGAAAAGUUAUUGAUAAUUUUAUUCCUUAAGAAAGGCAUUUGGAUUGCAAGGUGGAUUGACUGUGAGAUCAUUAGCUUUUGUGAAGUAAAAAUAGCCAUUUGUGUCAUGUUUCUGAAGACUAAGCAGUGUCUCAGUGUACUGAGGGUGAUGAGUCUGUGGAAAGAUCAGUGCAACUAUUGCAGAAUGUUUAAGACAAGUAUCUUUGCUUGGUCUUUACUACAAGUUUAACAAAACGAAAAAGUCAAUCUUUGUGUGGCCUUUAGUAUGAUUAACUUUUUGGAAGAUGACCUAAGCCUUCUAAUCAUUAUAUUUUGUCUGACAUUGGUCACCAGUCCUUGCUUAUUUUUAAAAGGUGACUGGAUGGAUUAAAUUUGAGAACAUGUCAAGUCGCCUUUGAAAAUUAUAUAGGCCAUCACAUUUAAUUAAUUCAUUCUAUCCACCAUUAAACUCUGGCAAUAAUUUGAAGUAGCUUGAAAAUUCCUAAAGUGGGAAUUUAUUUUAGAGAUGAUAGAACCUGUUUCCCCACUUUACAUUUUAAAAUAUGUCUGCCAGGAUCUAAUCAUUCCUUUAAACGUACACUUCAAAGAGAGAUUUUCCUAGUAAGAAAAGAGCUUUCUCUAGUGUGAAGGGUGCUUUGUAGCCGCCGAGUACUUAGGUCUUUUUUGGGAGCUAUUGUGUAUGAGUGUAUGUAUGUGUGUGUGUACAUGCAUGUUGCUGCGCGCAGUCAUUCAUUCACAUGGUGCUCAGACAACAAUGGGAGCUGGUUCGUCUAUCUUGUGGGUCCUGGAGAUCAAAGUGAGAUCAUCAGGCUUGGCAGCAAGUGCCUUUACCCUCCGCGUGCCAUCUUGCCAUCCCGCUGCUGAGUGUUUGAUAUGACAUUGCUGAUGAAAAUAAUCAUCACAACAGCAGUUCUCCCAGCAUUACUGAGAAAUGAUACUAUUUUUCUGAGGAGGAUGUUCAAGUAACUCAUCCAGUGCAGGAUCCUGCUUGAACUACUGCUCCUCCGUUACAUCAGACUCUGGCUGUUUAGACUACAGGAUGAAUUUGGAGUCUGUUUUGUGCUCCUGCCUCAAGAAGAAGGAUUGCCUGGAUUUAGAGGAGUGAAGAGUGCUGGAGAGAGCCCAAAGGGACAAACAAUCCCUAUGUGAGACUCAAGGACUGCCAGCAGCCUAUACAGCUACAUUACAUCUCAGCAGAACUUCUCUUCAAGUCCUCGCUACUCUGAACAAAAAGCUUACAGGCCACAUGGAGAAAAAAAGAUCUCCCCCCAGAAUUGUGGGCUUGCUGCUUUGCAGUGCUGGCGACCUAUUCCCUUUGACGAUCCCUAGGUGGAGAUGGGGCAUGAGGAUCCUCCAGGGGAAUAGCUCACCACCACUGGGCAACAGGCCUAGCCCAGAUUUCAGUGAGACGCUUUCCUGAACCCAGCAAGGAAGACAAAGGCUCAAAGAAUGCCACCCUACAUCAAAGUAGGAGAAAAGCUGCUGCAAUAGUGGCACUGACCUUCGAGGAAGCCAUUCUGCUCUAUUUGGUUCUCUCUCCAGAAGCUAGGAAAGCUUUGCCAGCUGUUUACAUACUUCAAGAUGCACUGCUACCCUACUCAUGCCAUAUAAUACACAAUGCCAUCUACCAAAUAUUACCCUUCCCCAAAGCAGCACAGAAAACUGGGUCUUCAGCGUGAUCAAGCAAUGUGAACACACAAAAGGAAGGCAGCUUUAUAAAUGACCCGAGGAUCAACAUGCCUGACUGCAGCAUCUUAAAAGCAAUAGAAUGAGUGUGUAUUGUGGGUGUGUCUAUUUCUUGUUUUAUGUAUCUAUUUUUUCCUUGGUCUGUGUGUCUAAUUCUUUGUUACAUCUAUUUCUUCCUUGCUUUGUGUGUCUAUUUCUUCCUUGCUUUGUGUGUCUAUUUCUUCCUUGCAUUAUGUCUAAUUCUUUGUUAUAUCUAUUUCUUCCUUGCUUUGUGUCUAUUUCUUCCUUGCAGUUGUGUCUAAUUCUUUGUUACAUCUAUUUCUUCCUUGCUUUGUGUGUCUAUUUCUUCCUUGCAUUGUGUCUAAUUCUUUGUUAUAUCUAUUUCUUCCUUGCUUUGUGUGUCUGUCUUCCUUGCUUUGUGUCUAUUUCUUCCUUGCAGUUGUGUCUAAUUCUUUGUUACAUCUAUUUCUUCCUUGCUUUUGUGUGUCUUUCUUUCUUGCUUUUGUGUGUCUAUUUCUUCCUUGCAGUUGUGUCUAAUUCUUUGUUACAUCUAUUUCUUCCUUGCUUUUGUGUGUCUAUUUCUUCCUUGCAUUGUGUCUAAUUCUUUGGUAUAUAUAUUUCUUCAUUGCUUUGUGUGUCUAUGUCUCCUUGUGUUGUCUAAUUCGUUGUUGCAUCUAUUUCUUCCUUGCUUUGUGUGUCUAUUUCUUCCUUGCUUUGUGUGUCUAUGUCUUCCUUGCUUUGUGUGUCUAUGUCUUCCUUGUUUUGUGUAUCUACUUCUUCCUUGUGUGUCUAAUUCUUUGUUACAUCUAUUUCUUCCUUCCUUUGCAUGUCUCCUUCUUUCCUUUGUGUGUCUUUUCUGUCUGCAGUGUGUCUUACCUAUUCCCAUGUUUCUCCUGCAUGUUCUUUCUUGCAGAGCUUUGAGCUUUGUUUCACUUUCUCUGGUGCCUGUGUGGUCUGCUUUGUCUUCACUAGCUAUGGCUCUCUGUUUUAUCUAUCUGGUUGCUAUUUCUCUUAGCUUUUCUUUCACUCCUGCCUUUCGUGACUCCCCUUUGGGUCACAUGUUGCAUGCAUCCCUCUCUUUUUCUUGUGCUCACCCCACUUGUUCUUUGUUCAAGUUCUCUUUGUCAGUCCAUUUCAGUUUUCUUUCUGCUGCUUCUAUCCUUAGUGAAUUCUUGUUUACAUUUCUUCCCUGCCUUUCUUGGGCCACUUUCUCUGUUUUCUUUUGUAUUUGUGUCUCUUUGCUAUUGGUGGAUUUCUUAUCUCAGCAUCAUUCUGUUGCUUUGUGUUUGCUUGUGUUUCUAUCUUCUACUUUCCUCCUUUCUGUUCACUUUGAGCAUUUCAUCUCUUUACAAGUCUGUGUCUCUCUUGUAUUCUAAAGUAAUCCUUUCUUGGAUGUUUCUUUGUAUGUACAUGUGCGUGUGUGCAUGUGUGUUAUGUGUGUCAUGUGUGAGAGGAGCUUCAUAGCCCCUUCCCAAUAGGUCCAGAAUGUCACCCGUGGAGCCGUUCCUCACACCAGACUGCCCUGAGAAAUAAUCUAAGACAAAAUACAUCAUUCCGUCCGGUCAGGAUUCAAGUGGCUCUGAAGUGAACGCCCAAGUAGAAGACAGAAGUUUUGCGACUUGAGAUUUAAAAGGACCAAAAUACACAGAUGGCCCGUCUUGAGCUGGCUGGACAGAAUGCUGACAACCCAAAGAAGAGGAACUGUUUCUACAGGACACCUGUGACUUCCAAGAGCGGGGAACUACGUAUGUCAUAAGACACAAAACCUGAGCUAAGUCCAAGCAUAAGACCUAAGGACCCAAUCCUAUAUGGACAGAAUAUUUAAGAGAUAAAGGCCUAUGGCCCAGAACUCUGGAAGGAUAUUUCUAUCCUUCUAUCCCCAAGACCAAGAAGGGAAAUUCGAAGAUGAGACCUGCCCCCCAACCCCAGCAUCCCUUUCCAUUUCUUAUAUUUCUAUUUAAGCUGUCUUCACUUGAGAUGUAAUUUUUCAUUGUUGCCAUUGCCCAUAAAGGAAUACGUUUUUAGCUGGAUAGUAUUGUGCAAGGGUCUGUUUUAAACUGGGUCUUAGCCAUUUGUUAAAUUGUUGAUGUUUUACAACUUCCAUUUCUCUUCACAUCUGCUCCACUUGAGACGGAACUAAAUCCAGCCAGUGUAUAUAGCCUGACUAUUGAAACUUCCCUAGGAAUAAGCAUGCAUACAGAUAUGCAUACUGCCAUCCUCCCUACCUCAGAAGCCCUAGGCUGACAAGAAAAGGAAAGCAUCAGGUUGUUAGGGGGAAAACAAUGUCAGGCUAUCUAGAGAAAAUAUAAAGAGUUGUUCCAGACCAAUGAGAAGAAUUAGACAAGCAAUAUGCAGAUGUGCCAACCCUCUGAGAAGCACCAGCCAGUGUCACCUUCUUUCUUUGGGCUUAGGUGAGCAGGGUAUGGUUUUCUAAUAAUGGUUUGGGGACAAAAUGAGGUCUGAACUCCCUGCUCAUAGUAGUGGCCGAGUAAUUUGGUGCAUUUCACCAAAGGAACUCCUGGGUCUAAUACCUACCUUUAAAAUUAAUGAUGAGAGACUCUAAGGACUACUUAACGGGCUUAAUCUUUUUCGUGCCUUCCUCUUCCUCUGUAAGAGGGAAGUUAAAUGACACAGGAUGAAAAAGUAACAUGCUCAUAGCACAUUGGCAAUUAUACAUGGUUAUUAUCUGAAAGUGUAGAGCUUUUCCUAUAAGGCAUCAGACUAAGUACCUGAAGCUUUGUGGGUUCAUGGUCUUAGUUGCAUAUUCCUUAGUUGCAAAUCCUUUUCAAAAGGUAAGAAAAAGGCACACUGGUCUAUUGCCUGUACUUGAUCAAGCCCUGAUAUGAAUGCCAGGGAAUGUCUGAGUAACAUUAAUUUCCUUCCCUGCAUAUUUUUUGUGCUGAAUACUAAGGCUGUGAUGCUUCACUGUGGUCACCCCCAGGUAACAAGAUAUUACCAGGUAACCAGGAAACGUAUGAAUACGUAAACCAUGAAGCCUACUGUAACUUCCAAGUCAGUGCUGAGUAUGUAUUACAUAGUAGCUGAAGUCUACGCCUCUGUGUGCUAUAGGCACAAAGAUUGCUCUAGGAAUAACAUGCUUUGUAAAAACAAAUAUAUGAACAUAACGGGGCUUGAAUGAAUAACAGUCCAUAUACUUAAGGCCAGUGUGUUUCUUCUGCUUUGGUGAGGCUCAGUAAGUUAUAUUAUACCAGGUAGCAGAAGAGAAAACACAUGGAAACUGAUUUUAAACUACAAACUAGGUCACUAAUGCAGGUGAUUGAUUACCCUAUUCUGAUCACCUUCUAAUUUCUGAAUACCCAUGUUCAGCACUGGGAAUAACAAAGGGGGACAUUACCACAGAACUAGAAUUUACAAAAGAAUGCAUUAAAUAAAGCAUUAUACAGCUAUCAAUUGUUCCAUGUGUGCAAAUGAAUGACUACUAACUACCUCUGAUGUAUCCGAUAUUGUUUUGGGUACAUGAAAUAUUCAUGAGUAACUGCCAUGAAAUAAGAAUGUUUGCAUUCCAUACUAUUCAUAAGGAAUGAGCCAAUGCUUAAUUUAAUCAGUCAAAACUUGAGUGAUAAGGGCAUGUUAAUACAAGAACAUUUGCCCAGGUCACAUUAUGGUUGUGGGUACUUUCUUAACUAUAAAGCAGUUCAGUAGUAUAAGACAAGACAAAUUUUCUAUAGAAAUAAAGCUGCCUAUAAAAUAGGCAUAGUCUCUACAAAAUUUUCAUUGUACUUUUUAGCCCAUAAUGGGAAGAGUACAGUUAACAAGCUGGGUGUGGUAGCAUGUGCUCUGAGCUGAAGCAACAGGACCACUUGAGCCCAGAAAUUGGAGGCUAGCCUGGGAAGACCAUAAGGUCAAUCUCAAACCUGGAGGCUAAAUAUUGUCUCCCAUGUGUAUAUUCUCUUUCAUGGGUACUGGAGAGAUACACAGACGUACAUUUCAGUGUGUCCACACUUGAGAAUAAUAUGUACGUUGGCAUUUUAUGAACUCGGAGGUACCAUAUAAAUGUAACAAUUCAUUUUCUUACUUGGUAUCAAUUUCCAGGCUUUUAAAAUUCUGCCACAUUUAUUAUACUGUGAAAAUAAAGUAAAUAAGUAACUGUGAACCACUGAAUAUAUGAAGCAUUCAAUACUUGAUGAGUACAUACUGAAUGGCAGUCAUUUAUUACAAAACAGUGCCCUUGCUAGGCACUGGGAUGCAAAGAGCAUUCUCAUUGUCCUGUGUAUCUAAAGAAAUUAUGCAUGAGAUUAAUUUAUAAUUUGUAAACUGCCAUAUAUAUGUGUAUAUAUGCAAUAUUUGCCUGGUGUGCAAUGACUUUGCUUUUAUCCCAGGCAUGCACAACAGAUCUGUGUGGAGCUUUGUGAAGUCUACAGUUCUAUAAAGCCGGGACCUAACUGUUGGCUUUAUCAGUGAACAGUGAUUACUUUCUAAGUUUCAUAAUGGCUGAAACUUAAUCAUAAUGCUUAUCACCUAACACCACCUAAUAAUAAUUUUACCAUGCUAUGUGUUGAGCGAACACAUAGAUUGCUUUCUAGCAUUAUGUAGCACUUAUAGGAGUGAAAUCUAGACCAAAACUUCAAUUCACUUCAAUGAGGAAAUG